UACGAAGGGGGCUAGCGUUGUUCGGAUUUACUGGGCGUAAAGCGCACGUAGGCGGAUCGAUCAGUCAGGGGUGAAAUCCCAGAGCUCAACUCCAGAACUGCCUUCGAUACUGGAAGACUUGAGUCCGGGAGAGGUGAGUGGAACUGCGAGUGUAGAGGUGAAAUUCGUAGAUAUUCGCAAGAACACCAGUGGCGAAGGCGGCUCACUGGCCCGGUACUGACGCUGAGGUGCGAAAGCGUGGGGAGCAAACAGG
rnacentral:rRNA from 1 species